rnacentral:rRNA from 1 species
CUACGUGCCAGCAGCCGCGGUAAUACGUAGGUGGCGAGCGUUAUCCGGAAUUAUUGGGCGUAAAGGGUGCGUAGGCGGCCUGUUAAGUAAGUGGUUAAAUUGUUGGGCUCAACCCAAUCCAGCCACUUAAACUGGCAGGCUAGAGUAUUGGAGAGGCAAGUGGAAUUCCAUGUGUAGCGGUAAAAUGCGUAGAUAUAUGGAGGAACACCAGUGGCGAAGGCGACUCUCUGGUCUGUAACUGACGCUGAGGCUCGAAAGCGUGGGUAGCAAACAGGAUUAGAUACCCUGGUAGUCCACGCUGUAAACGAUGAGUACUAGGUGUCGGGGGUUACCCCCCUCGGUGCCGCAGCUAACGCAUUAAGUACUCCGCCUGGGGAGUACGCACGCAAGUGUGAAACUCAAAGGAAUUGACGGGGACCCGCACAAGUAGCGGAGCAUGUGGUUUAAUUCGAAGCAACGCGAAGAACCUUACCUAAGCUUGACAUCC